rnacentral:rRNA from 1 species
UGCAAGUCGAACGGUGAACACGGAGCUUGCUCUGUGGGAUCAGUGGCGAACGGGUGAGUAACACGUGAGCAACCUGCCCCUGACUCUGGGAUAAGCGCUGGAAACGGCGUCUAAUACUGGAUAUGUGACGUGACCGCAUGGUCUGCGUCUGGAAAGAAUUUCGGUUGGGGAUGGGCUCGCGGCCUAUCAGCUUGUUGGUGAGGUAAUGGCUCACCAAGGCGUCGACGGGUAGCCGGCCUGAGAGGGUGACCGGCCACACUGGGACUGAGACACGGCCCAGACUCCUACGGGAGGCAGCAGUGGGGAAUAUUGCACAAUGGGCGCAAGCCUGAUGCAGCAACGCCGCGUGAGGGACGACGGCCUUCGGGUUGUAAACCUCUUUUAGCAGGGAAGAAGCGAAAGUGACGGUACCUGCAGAAAAAGCGCCGGCUAACUACGUGCCAGCAGCCGCGGUAAUACGUAGGGCGCAAGCGUUAUCCGGAAUUAUUGGGCGUAAAGAGCUCGUAGGCGGUUUGUCGCGUCUGCUGUGAAAUCCGGAGGCUCAACCUCCGGCCUGCAGUGGGUACGGGCAGACUAGAGUGCGGUAGGGGAGAUUGGAAUUCCUGGUGUAGCGGUGGAAUGCGCAGAUAUCAGGAGGAACACCGAUGGCGAAGGCAGAUCUCUGGGCCGUAACUGACGCUGAGGAGCGAAAGGGUGGGGAGCAAACAGGCUUAGAUACCCUGGUAGUCCACCCCGUAAACGUUGGGAACUAGUUGUGGGGUCCAUUCCACGGAUUCCGUGACGCAGCUAACGCAUUAAGUUCCCCGCCUGGGGAGUACGGCCGCAAGGCUAAAACUCAAAGGAAUUGACGGGGACCCGCACAAGCGGCGGAGCAUGCGGAUUAAUUCGAUGCAACGCGAAGAACCUUACCAAGGCUUGACAUAUACGAGAACGGGCCAGAAAUGGUCAACUCUUUGGACACUCGUAAACAGGUGG